GGCUUGGUAGCGCUCGGAGUGCAUCUGCAUCUGCUUCGUGGAGAUAACUGCUCAGUACAGCAGAAGGAACGCGUUCGACUCGCGUCCAAGCCA